CACGUUGAAACACCAAUUCUCGUCCGAUCACCAGUUAAGCAACGUCGAACCUGGUUAGUACCUAGAUGGGUGACCACUUGAGAAUACCAGGUA